AGAAACUUAGGUUAAUACACUAAACCAAGAGCCUUCAAAGCCCUAAAUAUGAGCCCAAAACCUCUUAGUUUCUG
rnacentral:tRNA from 1 species